rnacentral:rRNA from 1 species
CCUACGGGUGGCAGCAGUGGGGAAUAUUGGGCAAUGGGCGCAAGCCUGACCCAGCACCGCCGCGUGAAGGAAGAAGGCUUUCGGGUUGUAAACUUCUUUUCUGAGGGACGAAGAACGUGACGGUACCUCAGGACUAAGCCACGGCUACCUCCGUGCCCGCAGCCGCGGUAAUACGUAGGUGGCAAGCGUUGUCCGGAUUUACUGGGUGUAAAGUGCGUGCAGCCGGAGGGACAAGUCCGAUGUGCAAUCCACGGGCUCAACUCGUGAACUGCAUUUUAAACUGGUUCCCUUGAGUGUCGGAGAGGUAAUCGGAAUUCCUGGUGUAGCGGUGAAAUGAGUAGAUAUAAGGAAGAACACCAGUGGCGAAGGCGGAGUACUGGACGAUAACUGACGGUGAGGCGCGAAAGCGUGGGGAGCAAACAGGAUUAGAUACCCUAGUAGUC